rnacentral:rRNA from 1 species
CCUACGGGAGGCAGCAGUGAGGAAUAUUGGGCAAUGGGGGCAACCCUGACCCAGCCAUGCCGCGUGAGUGAAGAAGGUCUUCGGAUUGUAAAGCUCUUUCGGACGUGACGAUGAUGACGGUAUCGUCUAAAGAAGCACCGGCUAACUACGUGCCAGCAGCCGCGGUAAUACGUAGGCGGCAAGCGUUAUCCGGAUUUACUGGGCGUAAAGGGAGCGUAGACGGCGAUGCAAGUCUGAAGUGAAAGGCGGGGGCCCAACCCCUGGACUGCUUUGGAAACUGUAUGGCUGGAGUGCAGGAGAGGUAAGUGGAAUUCCUAGUGUAGCGGUGAAAUGCGUAGAUAUUAGGAGGAACACCAGUGGCGAAGGCGGCUUACUGGACUGUAACUGACGUUGAGGCUCGAAAGCGUGGGGAGCAAACAGGAUUAGAUACCCUUGUAGUC